CCAUGCCUGUGGCAUAUGGAAGUUCCCGGGCCAGGAAUCAAACCUGUGCCACAGCAGUCAUGAGAGCCACAGCAGUGACAGUGCCAGAUCCUUAACCUACUGAGCCACCAGGGAACUCCUGCAAUACUCUUACUCUCUAUCUGUAUUACCGCAUAAAGAAACUGGCCAGUGUCAGAAGUUGGUUAGAUGAGAAAAGUUUUCACAAGUGGGAGUUGUAGCUGCUUGUCUCUUAACUGUAGGGAAUCUGUCAACUUUCGUGCAGUGUAUCAAGACUUUACUCUUCAAAAUCAUUCUCAGUGUGCUCUGAAUUGCGAUACUUUUAAGCUAACUACUUCUCAAAGUGCUGUUUAAAAACUGACAUCUUCAACCGCAUUCCAGGCUUAGAAUAUAUCUAAAUUUGCAAAAGAUUUAAGAGAAAAAUGUGGUUUUCUUUGUAACAGGCUAAAAAUAAUGAUAUCCUUUAUCUUCAACUGAACAUGUACAUAUGUUGUAUAAGCUGUUGCAUUUAAACAAAUUGAAAAACAGUAGGAUUCUGGCUAUCAUCCACCAAGAAACAAAACCUGCCCAGAAUAUCCUUUUAAGCAUUAAAAAUACAAUUAACUGUGAUUUUCCACAAAGUUCAAUCCCACAUACCAAAUCCGUGUUGUCAACCAGGUCCAAGGCAUCAAAUUAUAAAAGCUAAUGUCUCAACAACAGACAGGAAGCUCAGAAAAAAAAAAUGAUUUCAGUACAAUUUUACAUAAGGGAACGUUAGUUUAUAUUUCUACAAAUUGCUUUUGAGUUACUGGGCAAUAUGUUAUUUAAACUCCCCCUUAUGGCAACAGAACACAAGUCAUAUCCCUUAAAUAAUUCCCUCUGAACAUUAAAUGUUUAUCAUGUGCAAAGUGCCGCUAGAUGAGGCUCAGAAAUGGAGAAAACAGGUUCACUGCUGUGAAUGCUGAAUGCUGAUUUUUUAAAACAGAAGAAUGUCACCAACUCUGAUAAUUCUGGGUGAUUCCUCCUUACCACCAACAGUGAUUUUUCAACUGUUUUCUUCUAAGCCGGAACCCUGCCUUCAAAUGAAAUCUUACAUGGAAACCCAAAACAUUAAAUAAAGUUGAGACCAUUCACCUUGACCUACUGAUUUUUCCUCCCCCUCCUCGCCACCCGCCCUCCCCCCUUUACCACCAAGGGCUUCUGCAGGCAGCCCCAUGGGAGUUUGGGGGUUUUGAGACAUGCUUCGGCCACUGGAGAAAGUGCUCUGCCCUCCACUGGUCUGAGGAGUCUCAGAUCCUUCACAUGGCCUAUGAGACCCCUUACACUUUGCUCCCUCUAUUUCGCAGCCCCAUGAGCUCAUCAACCCACUGACCAUGUAACAUACUGCCCUCAGUAAUGGAGUACCGACUGUUCACUGCAUGCAUUAUGCACCAUGCUGUUUGUGCCCCAUGCUUUAAGCUGUCCCUCCGCUUAAAAGGUGAGCCCUUCAUAUCCUUCACCUCCAUCAGUGCUGAGACACCCCACAACUCUGCAUGUCUGGAAACUGUCUUAACUCCAUAUAUACAUUCAUUUUCACCUCACCAUGGUGGGAGGUAGGUAUUCAUGUAAACUAACUUUCUUUUUUUUUUUUAAACACAUCCGGAAGUUCUUGGGCUAGGGAUCAAAUCGGAGCUGCAGCUGCCAGCCUAUGCCAGAGCCACAGCAAUGGCAGCUCUGAGCUCCAUCUGUGACCUACGCCACAACUCACGACAACACCAGCUCCUUACCCACUGAGCAAGGCCAGGGAUCGAACCUGCAUGUGCAUGCAUUCUAGUGGGGUUUGUUACCGCUGAGCCACAACGGGAACGCCAUGUUAAUUAACUUGUAAAUAAGUCAAGGACAGAGAGUAUCUUCUAUUUUCAAUUGUACAGUACGAUUUAGCACAGGUCUUGACUCAUAAUAGGGGCUUAAUAUACGACCGUGAGAG
rnacentral:lncRNA from 1 species